rnacentral:tRNA from 1 species
GAGGGUAGAGUUCAGUGGUAGAGUGCAUGCUUAGCAUGCAUGAGGUCCUGGGUUCAAUCCCCAGUACCUCCA